UAGCAAAGCAUAAGAACAAAAUUAAGUGCUGGGAGUUAGCUUUGAUAUAUGAAGUUCAGAUUCAUAUUUUAACCAGGUCAAACAGUGGUGAACUUUCCUUACCCUUCACAGCACAGAUGUUAUAAGGUAUGAGCCAAGGGCGAGACCUUGUGAGCCAGCUGUCCGUGUGGCUGGACAUCAGCAAGGAGCAUCUAGUUACAUCUACCUGUAACCAAAGAGAUGGAUUCUGCUAUUAUUAAUGCCUGAGCAGUGCAGAGUUCAAAGGAUAUAAGAAAAUAAGAAUAGCCCUGCUGGAUCAGGCCCGGAACCCAUCCAGUCCAGCAUCCUGUUUCACACAGUGGCCCACCAGAUGCCUCUGGGAAGCUGACAGGCAAGAGAUGCAUAAUGAAAGCACCUGUGGGUGAGAAGGAGGUACCAGCAGAUCCAGGGUAACCCACAGAUACGAGGGGAAACUCAAAGGGGCAAUAUUCCUCCAAAAUUGCCUCAAUGGAAUGCAAUGGAGCAGUAUGUUUAUGGACUCAGAGGCAGUAAACAGAUAACCAGGUGUGUGGAGCUAAUGGAAUUCAAUGGUAAGGAGCUGGGGGGGAAGGAGUGCUUGAACAAAAAGUAUACAAAAUUUCUCAUAUUGAAGAAUACUUCUUCAAGACAGUCACAAACCCUUCUGCUUCUGGGGGAAAAGGUGCUUAAAACUUCCACCAUGCUCAGGCACAGUUUCAGGUAACACAUGCACACCAGGGAUAUACUAUAAAAUUUUGUUGAGGACCCAUACUUAGAGGCUCCAUUUUCUUUUGACCCACUCGGUCAUAGGUUUCCAAAAUACACUUUUCUGUUGCAAAUGGCUUGCAAGUCUGGUCUGGCAACAAGGAGCUUUGGCAAACAGGAUUAUAGCAUAGACAAGCUACUAGGAUAUUACACAGAUAGUUUUUAUUAUUAAGAACUUUUAAGGAAGGAUAGAUAGAUAAGUUUAUUCGGUCAUUGAACAGCAAAAUUUAAGGGAAAAUGGUACAGAAAUGUAAUGAAUCAUCAUCAUCAUCAAGCAUUGGCCACUAGAAGGGCCAUGACAUUUUUGCCUGCUUAGUCCCAUUUUUGCAGCCAAUGGCAUCAAGAGAAUCCAGGCAAACAAAGAUGUCCUGAACCAAGAAGAUUUCAGGACUGAAAGGUUCAAAGGACAAGGUGGAGAUUGCAGGCCCACUGACGGAAGGCCCAAAGGAAUAUGAACAUUUCCUUUUGAGGAACAUUUGCUUUUUGACACUGUGAGGUACCACUACUGUGACCUUUUCAUACAAAACCAAGACAGACAACACUCGAAACCUCUGAGUUGUCAACUUGGUACUUCACAGUCAAGCAUGCAAUUGAUUGAAGCAAUGUGGAUUUCUGGACUCCCGGAGCUCAAGAUGGAAACAAGAAAGUUAUCAAGUGAUAAACUCGAUUAAAGGUAUCCUGAAUUUAUAUCAGUAAUGUAUAAAUAGUGAGUUAAAUACAUUUAAAUCAGUAAUGUAUAAAUAAUGUAUAAUAUCAUACAUUAAACAGUAAUGUAUAAAUAAUAAAUCUAAAUA